GUUCAAUCAAACCGCACAACACUGAGCUGCCCUUUGCCAAGCUCUGCCUCCGGCCCUGCAGCUUGGUUUGAAGCAGGACCUAUUCCGACCCACUACAGCUUAGAGAUGCGGCCACGCACGCGUCUUGCUCCGUCUGCUUUGGGCCUCCAGGAUCUCAUGUAGCCCAGGCUGCCCUUUAUUUCCUGCUGCUGGCCCUCCAACUUCCUGAUUGUGGAGAUGAGAAGAGAUGGCAUUUACCAAGAGCUCAGCCUAGUGAGGGGACUAAGCCUGGGAUGAUGCUACAAACUGAAGCCCCACACUUGGGAGAGUAGUUGACAGAUCAGACAACAAAAUGUUCAUCCUCCUGCCUGACCGCCAUCUUUGUAACCAUCAGCAAGACCACGCCCCACGUUUCAGGGACUUCCUGGAUUCUGAAGAUUGGUGCAGGAAUAAGAGCAUGUGAGGAGCGGAGAUCAGACAGGAACGCUGUGUUCAAAGGAGAAAAUGUUUGAGCUUCUUCUGAGAAGGCAGAAGUUGCUGUGAUAAGCUGCUGCAGGCUUCAAGUGGGUCCUCAGUGAGAUGGGCUGGAAUUUGACGAGAACUGGGAAUCAAAAUUAAAUUG